GAGUUUGAUCCUGGCUCAGGAUGAACGCUGGCGAGAUGCUUUACACAUGCAAGUCGUACGAGAGUCUUUGACUCGAGUGGCGGACGGGUGAGUAACACGUAAGAAUUUGCCUUUAGGAGGGGGACAACAACUGGAAACGGUUGCUAAUACCCCAUAUGCUUUCGAGUGAAAUGGAUUUUUCCGCCUAGAGAGAAGCUUGCGGCUGAUUAGCUUGUUGGUAGGGUAAUGGCUUACCAAGGCGACGAUCAGUAUCUGGUUUGAGAGGACGAUCAGACACACUGGAACUGAGACACGGUCCAGACUCCUACGGGAGGCAGCAGUGGGGAAUUUUCCGCAAUGGGCGAAAGCCUGACGGAGCAAUCUCGCGUGAGGGAUGACUGCCUAUGGGUUGUAAACCUCUUUUUUCAGGGAGGAAUAAAUGACGUGUACCUGAAGAAUAAGCAUCGGCUAACUCCGUGCCAGCAGCCGCGGUAAUACGGAGGAUGCAAGUGUUAUCCGGAAUCACUGGGCGUAAAGCGUCUGUAGGUGGUUUAAUAAGUCAACUGUUAAAUCUUGAGGCUCAACUUCAAAAUCGCAGUCGAAACUAUUAGACUAGAGUAUAGUAGGGGUAAAGGGAAUUUCCAG
rnacentral:rRNA from 1 species